rnacentral:misc_RNA from 1 species
GAAAUGCGAUACGUAAUGUGAAUUGCAGAAUUCAGUGAAUCAUCGAAUCUUUGAACGCAAAUUGCGCUUUUGGGUCACCCUGAGAGCAUGCCUCGUUCAGUAUCGUUUCUACCCACCUCCAAACGCUUUGUUUGGGAAAAUGAAGUGUCUUACGCCUUUGUGUGUGUAAGUCCUUUGAAGUGCAUUGAGUUUUGAUCUUGUUGUGUUCCCUCUGCUGGCAACGGCGAGGCUCUAGAACUCAGUCUCAAUGGAGAUACUUGACCUUUGUGUCAUUCUCUACAUUGAAUCCGGCUGGUUUUCGAGAGUAACAUGGAUUAUCAAGACUUUUUCAACCUCGUAAUUGUGCGAGAAUACCUAACGAUCUGAUCUGAACUGAGGUAGGAUUACCCGCUGAACUUAA